GUUAAAGUGACAGAGAUGUCCCGAGAUGACAGUAUACAGAGUCACGAGGUGAAGAGAAGCAAACCGAAGUGCAUGAAGAGUGUAAACUGAAAAACAAACACUGAGAAAUGGAUCAGAAAUGGGUUUCUGUUCUCUUCCUUAUCUCAGCUGUCUGUGGUGUAUCUGCAUACAUU